CGCGUGUACUGGUCCGGCCGGGCCUUUCCCUCUGUGGAACCCCAUGCCCCUCACUGGGUGUGGCGGGGAAACAGGACUUUUACUGUGAAAAAAUUAGAGUGCUCCAGGCAGGCCUAUGCUCGAAUACAUUAGCAUGGAAUAAUAGAAUAGGACGUGUGGUUCUAUUUUGUUGGUUUCUAGGACCGCCGUAAUGAUUAAUAGGGACAGUCGGGGGCAUCAGUAUUCAAUUGUCAGAGGUGAAAUUCUUGGAUUUAUUGAAGACUAACUACUGCGAAAGCAUUUGCCAAGGAUGUUUUCAUUAAUCAGGAACGAAAGUUAGGGGAUCGAAGACGAUCAGAUACCGUCGUAGUCUUAACCAUAAACUAUGCCGACUAGGGAUCGGACGGUGUUAUAUUUUGACCCGUUCGGCACCUUACGAGAAAUCAAAGUGCUUGGGCUCCAGGGGGAGUAUGGUCGCAAGGCUGAAACUUAAAGAAAUUGACGGAAGGGCACCACCAGGGGUGGAGCCUGCGGCUUAAUUUGACUCAACACGGGGAAACUCACCAGGUCCAGACACAAUGAGGAUUGACAGAUUGAGAGCUCUUUCUUGAUUUUGUGGGUGGUGGUGCAUGGCCGUUCUUAGUUGGUGGAGUGAUUUGUCUGCUUAAUUGCGAUAACGAACGAGACCUUAACCUGCUAAAUAGCCCGUAUUGCUUUGGCAGUACGCUGGCUUCUUAGAGGGACUAUCGG
rnacentral:rRNA from 1 species